GAUGAACGCCGGCGGCGUGCCUAAUACACGCAAGUCGAGCGAACAGACGAGGAGCUUGCUCCUCCUACGUUAGCGGCGGACGGGUGAGUAACACGUGGAUAACCUACCUAUAAGACUGGGAUAACUUCGGGAAACCGGAGCUAAUACCGGAUAAUAUAUUGAACCGCAUGGAUCAAUAGUGAAAGACGGUUUUGCUGUCACUUAUAGACGGAUCCGCGCCUCAUUAGCUAGUUGGUAGGGUAACGGCUUACCAAGGCGACGAUGCGAAGCCCACCUGAGAGGGUACUCAGCCACACGGGGACUACGGCACGCUCCAGACGCCUACGGUAGACCGCAGUAUGGAAUCUUCGAGAAUCGGCUAAAUCCUGACCGAGCAACGCCGCGUGAGUGAUAAGUGACUUCGUAUCGUGUAGCUCUAUGAGUAGGGAAGAAAAAAUGUGGAAAAAACCGUGCACGUCUUGACGGUACCUGAUCAAAAGGCUACGGCUAGCUACGUG
rnacentral:rRNA from 1 species